rnacentral:rRNA from 1 species
UCGGGAAUAUUGCGCAAUGGAGGAAACUCUGACGCAGUGACGCCGCGUGCAGGAAGAAGGUUUUCGGAUUGUAAACUGCUUUAGACAGGGAAGAACAAAGACAGUACCUGUAGAAUAAGCUCCGGCUAACUACGUGCCAGCAGCCGCGGUAAUACGUAGGGAGCAAGCGUUAUCCGGAUUUAUUGGGUGUAAAGGGUGCGUAGACGGGAAGGCAAGUUAGUUGUGAAAUCCCUCGGCUUAACUGAGGAACUGCAACUAAAACUAUCUUUCUUGAGUGCUGGAGAGGAAAGUGGAAUUCCUAGUGUAGCGGUGAAAUGCGUAGAUAUUAGGAGGAACACCAGUGGCGAAGGCGGUCUACUGGACGAUAACUGACGCUGAGGCGCGAAAG